rnacentral:tRNA from 1 species
GGCGGCAUGGCCAAGUGGUAAGGCAGAGGAUUGCAAAUUCUUUAUCCCCAGUUCAAAUCUGGGUGCCGCCU